rfam:Rattus norvegicus chromosome 6, whole genome shotgun sequence.
GGGGAUUUAGCUCAGUGGUAGAGUGCUUGCCUAGCAAGCACAAGGCCCUGGGUUCGGUCCCUAGCUCCG